rnacentral:rRNA from 1 species
GACAGAGGGGGCAAGCGUUGUCCGGAGUUACUGGGCGUAAAGGGCGCGGAGGCGGUCUGCGGCGUCGGCGCUGAAAGCGCCCCGCUUAACGGGGCGAGGCGUGCCGAUACGCGCAGACUUGAGGCGAGCAGAGGGUGGUGGAAUUCCGGGUGGAGCGGUGAAAUGCGUAGAGAUCCGGAGGAACGCCAGUGGGGAAGCCGGCCACCUGGGCUCGUCCUGACGCUGCGGCGCUAACGCGUGGGGAGCAAACCGG